rnacentral:tRNA from 2 species
AAGUCCUGCCCCUCCUG